rnacentral:lncRNA from 1 species
ACUCUGCCCACUCAAUUGGGGCCGCCUCAGGCUUGCUGUGCUGUGUGAUAAAUGAACAAAGGUGGCCGAGCAAGCUGCCCUGCCUUCCUCUGACUGCCUAGCUGCCCUGGCGUCUUCAUGCCAAUCUUGGACUCGAUGGCAUUCUUCUCUUUCCAGCCUGAAGGACAUUCCCAAAAGAGCAAAGGGAGACAGAGGCAGAUAAUCCAUUUGGGCCACUGUCAUGAUGAAUAUCGUCGGCAUGACAGGACCUUGAGCCACCUAGGAGAUACACUCAGCAUGCCUGUGAAGAGUUACCUAGAGCAGGACAUUUCAGUCUCUUAGAUCUUGACUGUGAUUCGAUGGUACACAACAUGGAGGAAGCAGACUGUGAAUAUGCCUGUCACCAACACCCUGGAGCACA